AAUGGUGAACACUAUGUUAGAAUUGUGGACGUCGUUUGCUAUCGAGGGGAGACCCACGACUUCGGCUUUUAGCUGCGACACGAAGUGGGAACCGUUUUCGAUCGCGACGGACAACGACCUUCGCAUCGGAAAUAUGGCCGAUCUCGCUCUCACCGUUGAAUAUUCUUAUUUCAAAGAACGUCUGCAGUUUUGGGAUGACUUGAAAGCUAAGGUGCCGUUAUAAUCAGCGCGCUGAGUUUACGCGAUCCCUCAUUUUAUCAUAAAAUAUCUGGAACGCACGUCUGGUACAUUGCUUCAUAUUGGCAAGUUUUUUGCAUUUUAUUGUAAUCCUCAAGGCAUGUGAAUCAUUCUAGCAUAGUUCAUGCUGAGGGUAGAUAUUAUAAUUUUUGUUAACGAAAAACAUGAAGACGAAAGUAAUGAAUGAAC
rnacentral:lncRNA from 1 species